AGAGUGAACGCUGGCGGCAGGCCUAACACAUGCAAGUCGAACGGCAGCACAGAGGAGCUUGCUCCUUGGGUGGCGAGUGGCGGACGGGUGAGGAAUACAUCGGAAUCUACCCAGUCGUGGGGGAUAACCUCGGGAAACCGGGACUAAUACCGCAUACGACCCACGGGUGAAAGCGGAGGACCGCAAGGCUUCGCGCGAUUGGAUGAGCCGAUGUCGGAUUAGCUUGUUGGCGGGGUAACGCCCACAAGGCUACGAUCCGUAGCUGGUCUGAGAGGAUGAUCAGCCACACUGGAACUGAGACACGGUCCAGACUCCUACGGGAGCAGCAGGUGGGAAUAGUUAGGACAAGUGGGGACGAC
rnacentral:rRNA from 1 species